GUGCUUGCUCCAGCAGCACAUAUAUUAAAAUGAGAACAAUACAGAGAAGAUUAGCAUGGCCCCUUUGUAAGGAUGACAUGCAAAUUUGUGAAGCGUCCCAUAUUUUG
ensembl:snRNA U6 U6 spliceosomal RNA